UCCUACUACACUUGAACCACUGGUCCAAUAACUUGACCUGCAAUAUCUUAUGCUCUACCUCUCUAGUGUGGAUCCCAUUAUUGUUCUUUCUGUUGCACCUCAUAUUCAUGCGAAGAGAAAGUGCUGAAAGGAUAUGUGCCCAUUUUUAACGGAGAUAGAAAAGCCGUUUAAACUGUGGAAGUUACUCAUGAGUGAAGAAUUCAGUGUAAAGUCCAUUUCCACCAAAGCUUUCUGAUGGUAUCAAAGAUAAGGACUGACCACUGAAUCUCAGGAUUCCAGCCUUCUGCCAACAAUGCAAAUAUUGGAAAAUACUGAAUGCGAUAUGGAAAAUGUACCUCAUCAUUGAACAGAGGGGGCAUCGAGGAACGAGAAGAGCAGUCAAUGAGGUGGAAUUACACUGUAACCAGUGAGGAACGCACCUGGAAUCAUUAAGGACCCCCAUCACCCAGGACAUGCCCUCUUCUCAUUGCUACCAUCAGGGAGGAGAUACAGCAGCCUGAAGACACACGCUCAAUGUUUUAGGAACAGCUUCUUCCCUGCCACCAUCAGAUUUAUGCACAGUCCAUGAACCUAUGUACACUACCUCACCAAUUUUUUGCCCUCUAUUUGCAUUAAUUAUUUAAUUUAAUAUAUACAUAUAUCUUAUUGUAAUUUAUCAUUUGUUUUUA